rnacentral:rRNA from 1 species
AACGAACGCUGGCGGCAGGCUUAACACAUGCAAGUCGAGCGCACUCUUUUAGAGUGAGCGGCAGACGGGUGAGUAACGCGUGGGAAUCUACCCAGAUCUACGGAAUAACACAGAGAAAUUUGUGCUAAUACCGUAUACGCCCUACGGGGGAAAGAUUUAUCGGAUUUGGAUGAGCCCGCGUUGGAUUAGCUAGUUGGUAGGGUAAAGGCCUACCAAGGCGACGAUCCAUAGCUGGUCUGAGAGGAUGAUCAGCCACACUGGGACUGAGACACGGCCCAGACUCCUACGGGAGGCAGCAGUGGGGAAUAUUGGACAAUGGGGGCAACCCUGAUCCAGCCAUGCCGCGUGAGUGAUGAAGGCCUUAGGGUUGUAAAGCUCUUUCACCGGUGAAGAUAAUGACGGUAACCGGAGAAGAAGCCCCGGCUAACUUCGUGCCAGCCGCCGCCGUAACAC